rnacentral:rRNA from 1 species
AUACGGAGGGUGCAAGCGUUGUUCGGAUUUACUGGGCGUAAAGCGCGUGUAGGCGGCUUUGUAAGUCAGAUGUGAAAGCCCUUGGCUUAACCGAGGAAGUGCAUUUGAUACUGCAAGGCUUGAAUACGGGAGAGGAAAGUGGAAUUCCUAGUGUAGAGGUGAAAUUCGUAGAUAUUAGGAAGAACACCAGUGGCGAAGGCGACUUUCUGGACCGAUAUUGACGCUAAGACGCGAAAGCGUGGGGAGCAAACAGGAUUAGAAACCCCAGUAGUCC